rnacentral:tRNA from 1 species
UUCGUAGACUCAAGUGUGCUUUUGAGUACCUGGCUUCGAACCAGGUGGUCGGGAGUUCGAAUCUCCCCGGGGCGCACCA